UACGUAGGUGGCAAGCGUUGUCCGGAUUUAUUGGGUUUAAAGGGUGCGUAGGCGGUCUUAUAAGUCAGUGCUGAAAUAUCCCGGCUUAACCGGGAGGGUGGCAUUGAUACUGUAGGACUUGAGUAAAGUUGAGGUUGGCGGAAUUGACGGUGUAGCGGUGAAAUGCUUAGAUAUCGGGAGGAACACCGGUGGCGAAGGCGGUUCUCUGGGCCUGUACUGACGCUGAGGAGCGAAAGCGUGGGGAGCGAACAGG
rnacentral:rRNA from 1 species